rnacentral:rRNA from 1 species
ACGGCGAGUGAAGCGGGAACAGCUCAAAUUUGAAAUCUGGCCUUCGGGUCCGAAUUGUAAUUUGCAGAGGAUGCUUUUGGUUAGGUACUUUCCGAGUUCCCUGGAACGGGACGCCUUAGAGGGUGAGAGCCCCGUACGGUUGGAUACCGAGCCUUUGUAAAGCUCCUUCGACGAGUCGAGUAGUUUGGGAAUGCUGCUCUAAAUGGGAGGUAAAUUUCUUCUAAAGCUAAAUACCGGCCAGAGACCGAUAGCGCACAAGUAGAGUGAUCGAAAGAUGAAAAGCACUUUGAAAAGAGGGUUAAAUAGCACGUGAAAUUGUUGAAAGGGAAGCGUUUAUGACCAGACUUUUUCCAGGCGGAUCAUCCGGUGUUCUCACCGGUGCACUUCGUCUGGUUGAGGCCAGCAUCGGUUUUCGUAGAGGGAUAAAAGCAGUAGGAAUGUGAUUCCCCCGGGAAUGUUAUAGCCUAUUGUAUAAUACCUUUAUGGGGACCGAGGUUCGCGCUCUGCAAGGAUGCUGGCGUAAUGGUCAUCAACGACCCGUCUUGAAACACGGACCAAGGAGUCGAACAUUUGUGCAAGUGUUUGGGUGUUAAACCCUCACGCGUAAUGAAAGUGAACGGAGGUGAGAGCCCUUACGGGUGCAUCAUCGACCGAUCCUGAUGUUUUCGGAUGGAUUUGAGUAAGAGCAUAACUGUUCGGACCCGAAAGAUGGUGAACUAUGCGUGGAUAGGGUGAAGCCAGAGGAAACUCUGGUGGAGGCUCGCAGCGGUUCUGACGUGCAAAUCGAUCGUCAAAUCUGCGCAUGGGGGCGAAAGACUAAUCGA